rnacentral:rRNA from 1 species
AUACGGAGGACGCGAGCGUUAUCCGGAUUUAUUGGGUUUAAAGGGUGCGUAGGCGGGGAUUUAAGUCAGCGGUGAAAGUUUGAGGCUCAACCUUAAAAUUGCCGUUGAAACUGGGUUUCUUGAGUGUAUUCGAAGUAGGCGGAAUUCGUUGUGUAGCGGUGAAAUGCAUAGAUAUAACGAAGAACUCCAAUUGCGCAGGCAGCUUACUAAACUACAACUGACGCUGAAGCACGAAAGCGUGGGUAUCAAACAGGAUUAGAUACACUGGUAGUCCACGCAGUAAACGAUGAUUACUAGCUGUUUGUGAUAUUACAAUAAGUGGCUAAGCGAAAGCGAUAAGUAAUCCACCUGGGGAGUACGCCGGCAACGGUGAA